GCAAUUAUGCAUAUGAUGUUAGAACUAGUAUUGACUAUCAUCGAAAUCUCACCAAGAAAAACCUUAGAGCACUGGUUUACAGUGGUGAUCAUGACAUGAUUAUUCCAUAUGUGGGCACUGGAGAAUGGAUAAAAUCUCUAAAUUUGAGUGUUGAUUACCAAUGGAGACCGUGGUUUGUUAAUGGCCAAGUUGCAGGGUACACCAAUGCAUAUACAAUGAAAGCGUACAGUUUGACAUUUGUUACUGUAAAGG